AUAAAGGACAACUACUAAAAAGUUUCACAAGGAACACGCCAUCAUAGAAAGACACAGAGAACCAACAAACAUGGCGCCAAUAGUAUUGAUUUGUUUAGCCCUUGUCGGACUCGUGGCAUCGGAGGCCGGUAAAAAAGGAUACAGUCCUAAAUAUAACAUGAAAACAUAUGGAAAUCCGUUCGGACCAGCUAAUAUUGGUAGUUAUGAAUAUCAAGGAAAUGGUUACUUUGGAUAUCCGUCUUAUGGUAGAUCAGAAUAUGGAUACGGGGGAUACAGCAACAACGCUUAUGGUUACGGUUCACCAUUAAGCAUUGGCGGUUAUGCUGGAUACAAUGGAUA